rnacentral:tRNA from 1 species
GCGCCAUUAGUAUAGUGGCUAGUAUGCUAGCUUGCCAAGCUAGUGACAGGGGUUCAAAUCCCCUAUGGCGCACCA